rnacentral:lncRNA from 10 species
GACAUGGCGCUGAGUGGGAUGACAAGAGGAGCGCCUCGGCUCCCCUGGAUCGUUUUCGAGCCGCCUCGAUACGCCUCCUUCCAGGCCCCGCAGCCCUGAAGCCGGGGACAAAUUCCGAGCGCCGGAUCAGGAGCGCACGACUGAAAGGUGCAGGGAUAUUAGCAGAAGCCUUUUCCAGGUCUUUGAGGAAUCACCACAGUCUUCCACAAUGAUUGAACUAAUUUAUACUCCGACCAGCAGUGUAUAAGCAUUCCUUUUUCUCUACAACCUUGCCAGCCACCUGUUUCCUUCUCCUAGAUAAACUCCACCAAAGCAAGAACUUAUAUUGUUCACAGCUGAUCCUAUAGCACCUAGAAGAGGAUCUAGUAAAUAUUAAAUAUUUGUUGAUUAAAUAAAGUAAAUCACUUUUCCUUGC